rnacentral:misc_RNA from 1 species
AUGGCCGUUUGUUGUUUUUAUUCGUAGAGUUCUUAUUUGGCUUUGCUUACAUUAUUUGAUUUACAUCUGAUGAUUUAAUGAGAUAACUUGUUUAAUAAAACGGUCUACUAUGACAAGUUUAAUAGAAAAAAUCGAAAAACUUAUUAAAAGGGAGAAAACAACCCCUGAGCGAAAACAAAAAGAUGACUGCACAAAGUCGUCGAGUGAGAUUCUUUCUGAACUUUUCGGUGCUUUUAACGCCGCACCGCCGAAAAUAGAAGAAGUUUCGUCUAAAAAAUCCAAGAAGAGUAAAAAGAAACACAAAAAGGAGAAGAAAAAACGUAGUAGGAGUAGCAGCAGUAGUAGUGAAUCUGAUAGUUCCUAUUCACACAAGCGUAAAAAAAGAAAAAAGAGUAAGUCUAAAAAACGCAAAGAUAUCGAUCGUUCACCUUCACGACGCCGAUCGAGAAGUCCUAUCAAAAUCAAACCUGAUCCUGAGUUAAAAAUAAAACUUGAAAAUUAUAGUCGAACUAAAAAUGUUAAGGUUAAAAAGGAGGAUGAUAAGCCAGAGGUCAAGGAAGAAAAAUCUAAACAUGAAUCUAAAGAAGGUAAGAAAACAGUCAUCAAGAUUGAAGAACCUGCAGAUGUGAAUAUAAUUGACACCAGUCUCAUUCCAAUGCCAGAUUCUCCUAGAGAACACCUAGAUCCGAAUGAUUUGAGGGUUAAGUUAGAUAGUAAGAAAAAUGAUACAGAGAAUGAUAAAGCUAAAGGUAAAAUUCAGAUUAAGAAUUUAAAAUUCAGUACUGUGUUUGAGGAAACGGUAAAGAAAGCUGAAGAGGAGGCGAGAAGGAAGAAGGAGAAAUAUGAAGAAGGGGAAUACACAGACUCAUCAAGUAGCUCUGCUGCUGAAGUUAUUUCCAAUUUCCCCAAGACUUCUGACCCUGGAGGCAUAUUGAAACAGCAAGCUGCAGAGGAAGCCAAACAGGAAGUGUCUGAGGAAGAAAAACCUUUAUCAAAGAAGAGUAAGCGUUCAGAGAGCUCACACAAAUCUUCAACAAAAGACAGGAGUAGAUCUCGUAGAAGAUCCACAAGCAGAUCUCGUAGAUCUCGGUCCCGUUCAGCGUCUCGAAGACAUCGCCGGUCCAGUUCGAAGUCGAGACGAAGAAGCCGGUCCCGACAUGGAUCUCGAUCGAGGAGGUCCCGGUCUCGGUCGCGGACGAGAGCCCGCCAUCACUCGCCGAGACAUAGAGGCAGAAGAUCAAGAUCUCCAAGCGGCGUGAAACUGGCGGACAGCGAGAAGAAGCGUCUGCUGGAAGUGGCUCGCCGGAACGCCAUCAACAUGCUGAAGAACGGCGCGGUGCCGGCCGGCGCCGCCGCGCUCCCGCCGCACACUCGCAGCCAGGUCAUGGCCGCCAUACAGUCUGGUGGAAAAUCAGUAGACGAGCUGACAGAUUUCUGCAAACAUCUGUCAAAGAAAGAAGCGCUUGGUGAAUUGUCUUCCGUCUCAUCCAACGAUGAAGAUAUGAGCGAGAACGAAGACACGCUGGCUUUCCACCAUCCUUUCUUGGUGAAGGAGAAGGCGCCCAUUGUAAUGAAUAUUAGGGGUGGCGCUCCACUGCCCAUAAAGACGAGUACGUUACCCGUGGCCAACAAGGAGGAACUUCGUCUCCAAUUCCCGGUGUCUUCAGGUUCACAACACAGGGAGAAGGCAUCAGAAUGGGUUCCUGUAUCGCCGCCUCGAAAAGAUAUGCAAGUCGCGAAGUUGAAUUCAAACACGAAUCCAAAACCACCAAAAGCAAUUGCAGCUCCUGAGACUGUGAAGACGAUCCCAACACCGGCGGCUCCACUGGCGUUACCAGCGCCACCUGUGAACACCCCAGCUUAUAUGAAGAGUUUCACCACUGGCGCCCAGCUAACGUCGGUGCCGACGCCGGCAUUACCCGCGCCGGGACCUCAAGCCUACCCACCUGGAAUUGAACCACCGAAAAUUGAUGUGGCGUCCAUAGUAUCACAAAAGAUAGCAAUGAUUCGCCAAGAACAGGAACGGAACGAACUCUCUUCUAAUCGAGGUUUUGGAUGGAGUUCGAAGGAAUCAACUUUGGGCCAAUUUACGGGGUCGACGGGGGCUCAAAUUCUGACGCCCAAAGAAUUGGCGAGCGGGGCCCAAGCUUGGGCCAAAAAGCCACAACCUCCGCUCGGGAUUGCCACGCGGUCCGCGCCCGGUCGGAACUUAUAAUACAGUGUAUUAUACCUUCCGACCUAUUGUUGCAUUGUGAUGGUUACAACAACAUUUCUUGUCAAAAAAUCAUUAAACAAUACAAAUUAUACAGGGUUAUUUGGUAUUAAACGUAUAACUUUCCCAUAAUGGCUAAGAUACGCAGGAACAUAUGUACAUCUUUUGUUCUGCGACUUUUGUCUAAACCUAAUAUUAUAAAUACCAAAAUAUUCAUUUUUGUAAUUUAAGGAUUGACUCUGUGAAACGGAACUCUGUUUUUGACAGCUCAAACGCCACAUCAAUUUCUAUGCGUGAUUUGACAUUACAUUGAGUACUACCUAUGAUGUGCAGAUUUCCAAACCAGAAUUUAUGUAUUUAUUUUUGUAUGCAGACAAAAAAAAACACAAGAAAUGAACAAGUGUUGUUUGUUUUGAUGUACCCAAGUAGUCUUUAGAAGGUUGUACGUUAGAUACCAAUAACCAUGUAUGAAACUCCGAGUUACUCACUGACUUACUGACAAUGUACAUUCGGAACUGCUGGGAUGUAGGUAGAUAAAGUUUGAAAUUUUAUAUUUUUAGGGAUAUAUAUCGAUUUUUUAACAAUACCCAAUGCACUCGCACUAUCUUACAUUUAAAAUGUAUAAAUAAGUACCCCAAUUUUAUAAGUCUAUCCCUUAUGAGGAUUUAAUAAUAGGAUUUCAUAUGGAUUUAAAAUGAGGCUUAACUACCCAAAACAAAUAAGUAUAAAAUCUAGUCAUUCAAGAUAGCCACAUAAUUUGAAUAUGCUAUAUUGCACGUAUCGAUAAAAUCAACAUUAGAUGCUUACUAAUACAUGUGACGUUAUAUAUCUUAAAUGUACCGACAUGUUAUCAUCAAAAAUAGAUUGUAUUCUGUGUGUUCGUGCCAAAUUCUUUUAUAAAGUAGCACUUAUUGUAUGUUAUCAUACAAGUGCUAAUUGGAAGACCUUAUUGGUUUAGAAAUACGUGUUGUGUUUGUUUGACGAUAUAUUUAUUUUCGAGAAAAAUAAUAAGGAUGGCUGAUUAACUCCGGCAAAAUUACAUAGGACACAAAUUCAGACGUAAAUUUAUGAUCGUUUAAGAACUUUAGGUAAUGCAUUAAUUCUCUACAAGUUGACAUCAGCUAAUCGAUCGAUUCUUGAGCAGAAAGGCUGUUUUUUGAAAAUCCACCCGUUGUAAACCCUAUCUCUGAAUCUAAGUUCAUUAUUUGUAAACAAGAGACGAAUGUUGUUGUCACCAUCACAUUUUCCAUGUUCGUUUAUCGUGCGAAGUGUGAACUGAACCAGCAACCUUAUUCACGAACGUUGAACACUAUGCCUUAUCAUCUCUCUCUUUCUAUCACUCCUGUCAAUUUGAAAGCGUGAAAGAGAGAGCCGAUAAAACAUAUUGCCUUUCAACGUACGUUAAUAAGUUCCCAGUUCGCUCUUCACACCAAAGUGCCUUGGCAUCGAUGGUAACUCCCAUGCCAUUCUUCAUGGCAUGAGAAUCACCAUUACCUAGCAUUGCAUACAAAUAUUCAGUGUUCCCCUCCUUUUUACACGUCACGACUGACUUGUUAUAUAUUUUUCUAUGUAUUCAUGUAAAUUUAUGUAUUUUUUGCAAGUAUUGUAAUUAAUAUCUGCACAUUAAUGUUUUGUAAAAUAAAUAACCAUAAAUAUUUAAUGAUUUAAUAUCAAUAUGAUCAUAAGCACAAUGCUAGGCUGUAUCUUAUAAUAGGGCAUUGAAAGGAGAUGAUGAUUGAGGCUACGUGGAGUGAUCCCUGUCACUCAUCAACUUAAAUGCCGUGAGAGGCAAAAAUAGGUGAUAUAUUAGCAAAGCCUUUGUAUUUUUUACAAUGCUCAAUUUAUAUAACUUAAACAAUUUUUAUAGUAUUUACUCGUAUUUGUCAGUCAGUUAUAUUUAUUUUACAAGCCUAGUAAUUCUGUGAGCAUUUUCAGUUAUUCCUUACUCGUUUGGAGUUUCGAAUAUCGUUGGCUCAUAGAAAAGCAUGGCUUAUAUGGGGAAUUCAUGAAUAUUUGUUGCAGCUUUUAAUUGAUAAGGUGAUGCGAGCACUACGUUUCUCCAUGGCCGUCAGGUGAUAGGUGCAAAGAGUUAGAGGAUCAACUUGUACGAGCCGCG